CAUGCACCGGUGGGGUCCCUCAGCCUGGUCUGUGCCCUCUUGCAAUCCGGGACCCCUCCGGGGAUGUCAGAGAGCUGAUUUCAGCCCGAUCCUGCAGGCCAGGCCGAGGGACCCCACUGGUGCACA
rnacentral:pre_miRNA from 1 species